CUGGUUGAUCCUGCCAGUAGUCAUAUGCUUGUCUCAAAGAUUAAGCCAUGCAUGUCUAAGUGUAAAUACGUCUACACUGUGAAACUGCGAAUGGCUCAUUAAAUCAGUUAUCGUUUAUUUGAUGGUCAACUUACUACAUGGAUAACCGUAGUAAUUCUAGAGCUAAUACAUGCACAAAGGCUCACGCAAGUGGGUUGUGAUUAUUAGAUUCAAACCAGCCUCGUUCUGGUGAUUCAUAAUAAUUGGUCGAACCGCAUGCCCUCGAGGUGGCGGUGAUUCAUCCUUAUUUCUGCCCUAUCAA
rnacentral:rRNA from 1 species